GUUUGAGACAUGUGCUCUGCCCAUAUAAGAUCUAUUAGUAGUUUCCAUUGGAAACUAUCAGACCUAUCAUUUGAAGUCUGAGAGUUCUUGCUGUUCUCCUAAUGGAUCGGUAGUUUAUUUCCGAGAUCCUUUUCAGUAGGAUUUUCGGCUUUCCUCUACCUUGAUACAGCAGGGCAUUUGGUAGUGUCGGUUUUGAUAGAUUUUGUCCUAACCGAUUCCUCGUUAUUACCUUAGACGUAUUUUGCCAAGGCAUUUGUGGGGCAUCUGGGGUGACCCUUUCCCAUUUAAAACACACAGAUAUUUAAAAGGAUAUUUGAUACAUAGAAAAAAUACACUUUUUAUACUUUGAGGACUGAGCGAAUCAGGUGAGUGUGUGAGUUGGUAUGUUUUAUUUUGUUAUAUUUUAUUAUGUUUAGGGACGGUUAACUUUCUGGUAAUAAGACCCGUCACAGGCUGGCUGGGGAAUUGGGUAGGCAAAUGCUCACAUUAAUCUGUACCGAUACAGGCUCCAAAUGCUUCCUUUAUAUACGCCAUAACUUAUGGUGGUGAUCCAUAUAAAGGAUGCUUAUACGGAGACAAGAAGAAGCAGAAGUAUGGCUAUACAACUAUACAAAUCCUUGGUAG
rnacentral:lncRNA from 1 species